rnacentral:rRNA from 1 species
UACGUAGAGUGCGAGCGUUAAUCGGAAUUACUGGGCGUAAAGUGUGCGCAGGCGGCGUCGCAAGUCGAGUGUGAAAGCCCCGAGCUUAACUUGGGAAUUGCGCUCGAAACUACGAUGCUGGAGUGUGGCAGAGGAAGGUGGAAUUCCACGUGUAGCGGUGAAAUGCGUAGAGAUGUGGAGGAACACCGAUGGCGAAGGCAGCCUUCUGGGCCAACACUGACGCUCAUGCACGAAAGCGUGGGGAGCAAACAGG